AGAGGCUGUGGCCAGAGUACCUAAUGCUCACUGUGCUCAGCAGGUCCUGACCACGACCCUGACUCAGAGCUGAGGGCCUCCUUCCUGCCACUAGAGGCCCCACACGGCCAUUAGGCCGUACCCACAGGAAGAGGCUGGAGCGGAAAGUGGGAAGCGAACCUCGAAGGAAGAGCAGCCAGGCCCGGGGCACUGUCACUUGCCGUCCCCUCUGCAGCUCCAGGUGUGUGGUUUGUGUGGCUGUGGUCAGAGCAGCACCUUGGCCAGAGUCCAGGGCCUGUGGUUUCACAUGCCCAACCCAGCUCAGCAGCAGGAUGAGGACCACAGAGGCAAAGAGCAGCCAGAAGAGACCCAAGACAUAGAAGCCCAGGGGGAGGAGGCAGCAAAAGUCGGGGUGGAGAAAAGGGUCAUUUCUGGAGCUCUCCAAAUGCCCUUGGAGCACCCCACGGAGCUUUGGUGGCUGAUCAAGUUCAGGGAUGGUUUUUUUGGUGGAUUCUAAGAGUGAUACGGGUUUUGUGGUAGUUAAAAAUGUGCUUUUUGGAGUGAUCAGGCUUGUGGCAGACACCAGGAUGGUCGGGCUUGUGGCGAUGGUCGGGAUUGGGGUGGGCUCCGGGGUGGUCGGGCUGGGGGCGGGCUCUGAGGUGGGCUCCGGGGUGGUCGGGCUGGGGGCGGGCUCUGAGGUGGGCUCUGGGGUGGUCGGGCUUGGAGUGGGCUCCAGGGUGGUCAUGUUUGGGGCGGGCUCCGGGACGGGCUCUGAGGUGGUCGGGCUUGGGGUUGGUUCAGUAGUGGAUUUUGGAGUUUUGGAGAAUGUGAUGGAUUCCAUGUGAAGUGUGAAAUUUGGGGUCCAUCUAGGUGGGAAUGUGGUCUGCUCCUUAGUGGAUUCUUGUGUUGGAUGCAAGGAGGAGGGCAUUUGGCUGUCUAGAGAAGCAGUGGACCAUGAGUAGAAUAGACCCCAGGGGGUUGUAUGGGCUUUGGUGGGGAACUUGACCACAGUCCUUGUGGCACGCACCUUAUCGCCCUCAGUGUCCUCUUCUGGGUAGUAAUCAUAUAGGUCUGUGUCACCUUCAUCACCAAGGGUGGGGCACCCCUUUCCUGGGUAUUUGUAGACGGGAAACUUGUCUGAAUUGUCACACUGCACACUGGCCACGUUAGAGGUCAUGGCCUUGACGUCCACACCUUGCUUCCAUACGUAGACAUUUUCAGCAUUGUCCUGCAGCCAGCGACGAAAAUAGAGGAUCUCACAGUUGCAUAACCAGGGGUUCCCGUGGAGAAAAGCAAAAGGCAGGAGGUGGGACCCAAAAAAGCCCUUUGGUAUUGUAUACAGCGAGUUCUCUUGGAGGAGAAGGGUGUCGAGAUUCUCCAGCCCAUUCAGGAGCCCAGCGGGGAGCUCAGUCAAGUUGUUGUUAGCCAGACUGAGCUUCUCCAGCUUGGGUGUGGGCGUCAGGAGCCCUGGGGGCAGGGUCUUCAGCUCAUUGCCUUUCAGGUAGAGCUCUUGGAGUUCGCCAAGACCACGCAGGGCACCAAGAGGCAGCGAGGUCAGCCGGUUGAAGGAGACGUCCAGGACGGUGAGAGCAGGCAGUGUCUGCCCUAGCAAGGGCAGGCUUUGCAGCUGAUUGUGGGAUAGAUCCAGGGUCCCCAGCACUGGCAGCGUCCCAUCGACCUGGAGCUUGGUGAGCUCGCACCUAUCUAGGUUCAGCUGAGUGAGGCGAGUGUAAGGCAUCAGGGUUGCCAGGGAGAAGGUGUACAGGAGGUUCUCACUCAGGUGGAGGAUGGUUGUGUCUUUCGGCAGGUCUGGAGGCAGCGCUGUCAGAUUCCUCUUGUCACAGUUCACUUCUAGGUGGCUGGCCACUUUGGAGACCUCACAGAUGGGGUGGGGGUGUAAGGGGCUUGGCAGCAGGAGCAGCAAGAGGAGGAGAGGCAUG
rnacentral:lncRNA from 1 species